rnacentral:rRNA from 1 species
CGACCGGCGCACGGGUGAGUAACGCGUAUGCAACUUACCUAUCAGGAGGGGGAUAACCCGGCGAAAGUCGGACUAAUACCGCAUGAAGCAGGGGCCCCGCAUGGGGAUAUUUGCUAAAGAUUCAUCGCUGAUAGAUAGGCAUGCGUUCCAUUAGGCAGUUGGCGGGGUAACGGCCCACCAAACCGACGAUGGAUAGGGGUUCUGAGAGGAAGGUCCCCCACAUUGGUACUGAGACACGGACCAAACUCCUACGGAAGGCAGCAG